UUAACCUGGGAAUGGCAUUUUGAACUGGCAGUCUAGAGUGCGUCAGAGGGGGGUGGAAUUCCACGUGUAGCAGUGAAAUGCGUAGAUAUGUGGAGGAACACCAAUGGCGAAGGCAGCCCCCUGGGAUGACACUGACGCUCAUGUACGAAAGCGUGGGUAGCAAACAGGAUUAGAUACCCUGGUAGUCCACGCCCUAAACGAUGUCAACUGGUUGUUGGGAGAGUGAAAUCUCUUAGUAACGAAGCUAACGCGUGAAGUUGACCGCCUGGGGAGUACGGUCGCAAGAUUAAAACUCAAAGGAAUUGACGGGGACCCGCACAAGCGGUGGAUGAUGUGGAUUAAUUCGAUGCAACGCGAAAAACCUUACCUACCCUUGACAUGUCCGGAAUCCUGCAGAGAUGCGGGAGUGCCCGAAAGGGAAUCGGAACACAGGUGCUGCAUGGCUGUCGUCAGCUCGUGUCGUGAGAUGUUGGGUUAAGUCCCGCAACGAGCGCAACCCUUAUCAUUAGUUGCUACGCAAGGGCACUCUAAUGAGACUGCCGGUGACAAACCGGAGGAAGGUGGGGAUGACGUCAAGUCCUCAUGGCCCUUAUGGGUAGGGCUUCACACGUCAUACAAUGGUCGGUACAGAGGGUUGCCAAGCCGCGAGGUGGAGCCAAUCCCAGAAAGCCGAUCGUAGUCCGGAUUGUUCUCUGCAACUCGAGAGCAUGAAGUCGGAAUCGCUAGUAAUCGCGGAUCAGCAUGUCGCGGUGAAUACGUUCCCGGGUCUUGUACACACCGCCCGUCACACCAUGGGAGUGGAAUCUGCCAGAAGUAGGUAGCCUAACCGCAAGGAGGGCGCUUACCACGGUGGGUUUCAUGACUGGGGUGAAGUCGUAACAAGGGUAAC
rnacentral:rRNA from 1 species